UACGUAGGGUGCAAGCGUUGUCCCGGAAUUAUUGGGCGUAAAGAGCUCGUAGGUGGUUUGUCGCGUUGUUCGUGAAAACUCACAGCUUAACUGUGGGCGUGCGGGCGAUACGGGCAGACUGGAGUACUGCAGGGGAGACUGGAAUUCCUGGUGUAGCGGUGGAAUGCGCAGAUAUCAGGAGGAACACCGGUGGCGAAGGCGGGUCUCUGGGCAGUAACUGACGCUGAGGAGCGAAAGCGUGGGGAGCGAACAGG
rnacentral:rRNA from 1 species